UGGCUCAGUUGGUAGAGCAUGGUGUUUGCAACGCCAGGGUUGUGGGUUCGUUUCCCGC
rnacentral:tRNA from 1 species